GAGCGGACAGAAGGGAGCUUGCUCCCGGAUGUUAGCGGCGGACGGGUGAGUAACACGUGGGUAACCUGCCUGUAAGACUGGGAUAACUCCGGGAAACCGGAGCUAAUACCGGAUAGUUCCUUGAACCGCAUGGUUCAAGGAUGAAAGACGGUUUCGGCUGUCACUUACAGAUGGACCCGCGGCGCAUUAGCUAGUUGGUGGGGUAAUGGCUCACCAAGGCGACGAUGCGUAGCCGACCUGAGAGGGUGAUCGGCCACACUGGGACUGAGACACGGCCCAGACUCCUACGGGAGGCAGCAGUAGGGAAUCUUCCGCAAUGGACGAAAGUCUGACGGAGCAACGCCGCGUGAGUGAUGAAGGUUUUCGGAUCGUAAAGCUCUGUUGUUAGGGAAGAACAAGUGCGAGAGUAACUGCUCGCACCUUGACGGUACCUAACCAGAAAGCCACGGCUAACUACGUGCCAGCAGCCGCGGUAAUACGUAGGUGGCAAGCGUUGUCCGGAAUUAUUGGGCGUAAAGGGCUCGCAGGCGGUUUCUUAAGUCUGAUGUGAAAGCCCCCGGCUCAACCGGGGAGGGUCAUUGGAAACUGGGAAACUUGAGUGCAGAAGAGGAGAGUGGAAUUCCACGUGUAGCGGUGAAAUGCGUAGAGAUGUGGAGGAACACCAGUGGCGAAGGCGACUCUCUGGUCUGUAACUGACGCUGAGGAGCGAAAGCGUGGGGAGCGAACAGGAUUAGAUACCCUGGUAGUCCACGCCGUAAACGAUGAGUGCUAAGUGUUAGGGGGUUUCCGCCCCUUAGUGCUGCAGCUAACGCAUUAAGCACUCCGCCUGGGGAGUACGGUCGCAAGACUGAAACUCAAAGGAAUUGACGG
rnacentral:rRNA from 1 species